UACGGAAUGUGCAAACGUUAUUCGGAAUCACUGGGGCUUAAAGAGUCCGUAGGCGGCAUGUUAGGUGAGGUGUGAAAUCCCCCGGCUCAACCGAGGAAUUGCGCUCAAACCGGCGUGCUUGAGGAAGAUAGAGGUGGGCGGAAUUCCUGGUGUAGCGGUGAAAUGCGCAGAUAUCAGGAGGAACACCGGUGGCGAAGGCGGUCUCUGGGCAUUACCUGACGUGAGGAGCGAAAGUGUGGGGAGCGAACAGG
rnacentral:rRNA from 1 species